rnacentral:lncRNA from 1 species
UAAAAACCUUUUUAAAACAUACUGUUAAUUCAGUUUGUAAUAACUUUAAUUUUCUUUUUCUGUAUUUAUGAAGGUAACACUAUAAUCUUACACCCCAGCAAUAAAGGUUAAUAACAUUAUUAACCUUUUAUUCUUUGCAUUCUUUUUUUUCCUGUUCAUUAAUAGAAAUUUAAACUAAAUUUAUUUAUUUAUUUAUUUAGCGGUGCAAGGGAUUAAAUCCAGGGCCUCAUGCAUGCUAGGUAGGUAUUCUACCACUGAUCUACAUAACCAGACCUACAUUUAAAUUUUUAAAUGUAAAUGGCUUCUGUAUAGUUUUAUAUUUUAAUUUUUAAAUUUAAUAAUAAAUUACAACUAUUUCCCAUGUCAUCAAAAUCUCUUCAAAACAUAACUAGUAACAUAAUAAUUAAUAAUAUAUUAAUGCUUUUAUGUAUAUCUUCCCACAAAAGGCUUUGAGCACAUCUGUAAUUAUUCCCUUACAUUUAUUCUUAGAAGUUGAGUCUAUUUUUAAGUCUUGAUUUAAAAAAUAAUUUUGUUGGGUCAAGUUUUAAAACACUUUGGAGCAGUCUGUAAAGAAAAAGCGUAUUUUGGUACCAGGGAAUGAACUCAGGUCCUUGUACUUGCAAGGCAGUCGGCAGCGCCACUGAGCUAAAUCCCCAGUCAGAAAAAGCGUAUUUUGGGGCUGGGGAGUUAGCUCAGUGGUGCCGCUGCCUGCCUCACAAAAGCAUAUUUUAGUAACAUUUUUUAUUUAUAAAGUUGGCUCUGAGAAGUUACAUUUUCUUACUGAAAUCUUUUACUUUCUUAAUACUUUGAUUCCUUAAUGGGACCUUCACCUUCACCAUAUCAUACUUCUUUGUUUUAUAGAGGAAGAAAUUGAAGGCCUAGGGCAUUUGGGAAAUGUUCAAGAUCACACUGCAAGUGUUGGCAAAGCGCUAAAAUAAGAACUCCAUGCUAGCACUUGUCUCUUAUCCCGUGGUACUUUUUAUAUUCAUGGAAAGUGGACUAGAGAUAGGUAUUUCUUCUGGUCAUUUCAGUGAGACAGUCAGGUGUCAAACUCUGCAUGCUCUUCUAAAUCAGGUUUGCAAAGUACUCUUGUCCAGUGGUUUUACUGUAUCAAAGCAAUAAAGAACUUGAAUACUGUACCUGGAAUUUCUAAGCUUGGAUAUCAUUAGGGAAGUUGCUUGAUUAUUGCAGAAUGACUUUGUUUUUGUUGUAAAGACCUAUACACGUACCUGUUUUUUCUUUUCAGUCUGUAACCUGUGUAUAUGGAGUUGAAGUUGCCGUGCAAUGAAACUUACAGUAUUUAUAUAGUUAUUCACUGGGUAUUUGAUCAACUUUUUACUACCAUAUUGAUUUUAGAUAAAAGCAAGAACUCUUGUUCCUUUUUUUUUAUUUCUAAACUUUUAUGCCAUAUCUGUUAUUGUACAGUUAAGAAACAGAGUCUUGAAAAGAGAUAAUAAAACCUUACCUUGAGAUGGAGAAGGCAGGCAUGGCAUUGGCCUGGUCCUUUGAUUCCCUGGGGUUGUUGAUAGGCUUGGAGGACCUCUACGUUGAGCAUUGAUAAUUGGCUUUCUGAGGAAGCAUCUACUCAUUACUCAGUAAUGACAAAAAUCAGCACUUCUGUCAGAUGCCAGUCUCAAGUGAGAGUUCUUCUCAGAGACCAAGUUAGAAGGUGUUUCUUUUUGUUUGUUUUGUUUUUUAUUUUUUGAGUCAGGGUCUUGCUCUGUAAUUUAGGCUGGCCUUGAACUCACUAUGUAGACCAGGCUGGCCUCAAACUCACAGUGAUCCUCCUGCCUCAGCCUCCUGAAUGCUAGUAUUACAGGCGUGAGCUACCGUCCCUAGCUUAGAAGAUGUUUCAGUGGUCUUCUAGUCUCACUUCUCUCACUCCAUUAUAGGCUUCCUUCCAUUCUCCAUCUCCCCAGAGAACUUUAGUUUGGUAACAUUUCUUGGUAGAGAGGUUACUAAUUUUUCAUUGAACAAUAAAGUAUUUCCUUAUUCAUUCAAAACAUGCACCCAUACACACAGUACUUACUGUGGGGCAGGAACUGAGUUAGGCAUUUGUUCGCAGGAUGAAGAUGAUGAAGAUGUGGCCUCCCUUUUUAAAUGAUAAGCUCACUGGUGUAUAACAGGCUUGCUGGUAAUUGUAUGUGUCUUCCUGGCUCUGGAUUCUGAAUCUGAACAUACUUUUGCUGCUAUAUGAUAAAAAGGGCAGGGAAUUGGAAUCAGAAGAUUUAGGUUUGAAUUUUGGCUUUAGCACUUACUUAACUAUAAGCUGGAACAAAUUGUUAACCUAUGAGCCACAGUUUCUUGUGUGCAAAGUGUGGAUAGAAGAGAAGGUAUAGGAUCAUACCUUCCAAUCUGUUUUACACCAUACAAGUGGUAGACUUUUCUUGUUUUUCUUUGCUUAUUAUCCAGAAUUAUGUUUUCUCACCAGUGGGUUUAUGGAGAAAGAAGCUCAGUUACAAUUCUUUCAGUGCUGCUGAAUAUACUGAGAAUGGAAAAAUAAACAGGGUUGUAUUGGUUUUCUGGCUUGUAAAUCAAAAAGUAAUUUUUAGUGCCAAAAACUAUGUUUGUCUUGAGAAGUCAGGAAUGUUUUUGCAUUGUAGAACAGCUUCAGAUUCCGUGGUGGAUCUCUUGGGGAAUCGCAUGGUUUGGGUUUAGGUUCUGUUGUGUAUGGGGCUGGCUUCUCUGCAAUGUAAAUCUUGCUUACUGUCCUCAGUUCCUGCUGGAGUAAAAUACAGGCUGGCUAGGGUAGUUUCUGGUCAGGACUUCUAAGCCAGCCAGGGCAGCAUACCUCUCUUGUAGCCAGGCCUUGGAAAGACCUCCAAGCACAGGUCCCCAGCCCAGUCCUCUCCACCAGGCUGGUCUGGAGUCACCAGGUGGCAGUGAGGUGGCAGAAAAGUGGCAUCAAGGGCUUUGCCUCUACCAGGGCUGAAGGUACAGGUUGUUAAAUUAAUAUGCCUGAUUUUUCAUCACUGUGAGAAAAUCUUCUGGAAUUUCUACCCCACUGAAGACCUCAUCUGUGUAGUUCCCAGAGAACCAGAACCUCCAUGCAGAGGGCUGAAAGCUCUCUACCCUGCAAACAAGUUCAGGAAAGAAGCAGAGUGAACAAAUGCAAACCCGAGUUCACCAUAGCCCUGCUUAAAGCCCUCUGUGACUCCCCACUGGCAAAUUCACUCUUGUUUUUGACCUACAGAGCCCAGCUGAUGGGCUCCUGCCCCCUCUCUAGCCUCAUCCUGAGCCUCACACACUGAAUGCCGCAAGUGUACAUAACCUGGAGACAUGAUGAUCUCUGGAUUUAUCUAUCAAUCUAUCUCAAUUUAUUUAUACAUACAUACUGGGGAUUGAACCCAGGGCCUUCACAUUAAGCAACAUGCCCAUCCCUUUAUUUUUUUAAAUUUUGAGACAGGGAUUCACUCAACUCCUAAGUUAUUCAGGCUGGGUGCGAACUUGUGAUCCUCCUGCCUCAGCCUCUUAGACUACUGGGAUUACAGAUAUGUGUGACCAUUUGCAGUUACCUUGCCAGUCCUCUGCUGAGAAAUUCCUGCCUAGCAGAAUUAACAAAAGCCCCUUGAUGACAGUGGUAGUCUAACAAAGUAGGUAACUGUUAGAGGAAGUAUUUUGUGUCUGGAACAGAUGUUCUCAGAAUUUUGUGUUUGGGCUGUUCCACUACAAAAACAAAAACAGAAGGACAGGAUGAAGGGUUCACAAUGUCAAAGUCAUGUGAACUCAGAGGAUAGAGAGAUUCUUGUUGGCUGCUCUGGGACAGUUUGCCCCUCCCCCAACCGUUUCACUCUGCCCUAAAGACUUGAAGGCCAACGGAGAAUGGAUGGAUAUCCUGGGGACCAGAGGGAGUGAUGAUGACUGAUAGAGCUGGUGGCUUCUUGCUGAAUUGAGACUACUGAAGUGGCCUCCCUGUGGGACACCUGAAGAAGCUGUCCUGUCAUUACAGAGCCUCCUCUCCAAAUGGUGAUUCAGGGGCCAUCUUUGACCCAUGAGACCCAAGGCAACCAUGCUGGCCUGCGAGGACAAGCUCACAGAAACGGAAAGAGCCUGGAGGGUCACAGCACCUCCAACUUGAGCAAAAUGCCACAUGGCAUUCCUGAGUGAACAUUUUGAAAGAGUUGUGUGGCAUCCAGUGAGGCAUUUGGAAGUCACCUGGAGGCCCAUAACGCCCUGUUGGAUGGUGGGCCAGGCUGGGAGAGUCUGUUCCCUGCAGACUAGACUGUGGGCCCGACCAGCUGUCAUGACUUCUCCAAAAUGUCCCAGUCUUUGCACAUUCAUUUUCUAAAAGAGUAGCAAACAGAUGUGAAAUGAAGAGAGAAUACUUCUUGAAGAUAGUCCAACAAUAGGUGAGCAUCUGAAAGCUGAAGAAUAAUCCAUGAUUGAGGGACAGCCAGUGUGCCUGAGGAAGGUGAUGUUUGUGGUGAACUGGUCUUGGAAACCCAAAAGGAAAUGGCAAGAUUGGAGUCUGCUAAAGCAAAUACGCUCUCUGCUGAAGCAACCUGCUGUCUUCCCUUCCCUGUGACAGAGUGUGCUCAUCAUUCUUGCUCUUUCAAGGAAAUGUGUAAAGAUGACUGAGCGAUGACAUUCACUGCCAUCUUAUAAAACAUUACAUUGCAAAGCAAUUUUUGUGGAAUAGUGUCAUGAAAUGACUGAAUAUUUACUCAGAUAUUUUAGAAAAUUUGCAUAACUUUAUGCUUAUAUUAUCAAAAUGUUAAAGGUUCAUUUUAGAAAACUCAAAUACAUGUUAAGUAUAAAUAGGAAAAGAAAAAUGUUAUUUUACUACUUAGAACCACUGAUUUUGUUGUGGCUAUAUAUCCUGCGUUUCUGUACAAAAACAAAUAAUGAGCUCUUAUAAUACACUUCUGUAAUACACUUCUGUACACUUCUGUAAUACACUUUGUAAUACAUACCUGCCUUUUAAACUUAUGUGAGCAAUUCCACGUCAGUUAAUAUGCUAUUAUUAUUAUUUGUACCGUGGAUUGAAAUUAGGACCAUGUGCUUGCGCGGCAGGCACCAGAACCACUGAGCUAAAUCCCCGGCCCCAAUAUGCUUUUAUUAUUAUAAACACUUCAUAAUUUUAUAUCGUAUGGAAAUAGUAUUUAAGCACUUAACAUUACUGGUAACAUUUAAUAAUCGUAAAUAAUGCUGUAGUCAACAUCCACAUAAUUUUUCCCAUACAAUGUUUGUUUAAAAAAUUAUUUUCUGGGCUGGGGAUUUAGCUCAGUGGUUUCGCUACCUGCUGUGCAGGCACAAGGACCCAAGUUCAAUCCCCGGUACCAAAAAGAAAAAGAAAACCCAAAAAUUAUUUUCUGUGUGUGCGUGUGUGUGCGUGUGUGCGUGUGUGUGUGUGUGUGUGUGUGUGUGUUUUCCUCAGCAGGUAGGGUGGACACUCUUAAUUUACUGAGGAGGAAGAAGUCUCCCAUGAACCCCUUCCCUUCCCGGUUAGCAGACUUCCCCUCGGGUCCCGCAAGCCAAGGGUUCUGCUCCUGUCCUCUACCUGUAAGGAGGCUGAGUGGGAGCAUCUGUGCCAGAGGGAGAUGUUGCUGAGAACGUGGCCCACGGAGGCUGCCACAGGGUAAUUCUCUUUUACGUGGAGCUAUCUAUAGUUCCUCCUCUCUACUGUACAGGGCAGCUCUGCUUCUAUGUAUGGAGGCCCACAGCCAUUUUAGCUCUCUCUUCUUUUUUUUGU